rnacentral:rRNA from 1 species
CCUACGGGAGGCAGCAGUGGGGAAUAUUGCUCAAUGGGGGAAACCCUGAUGCAGCGACGCCGCGUGAGUGAAGAAGUAUUUAGGUAUGUAAAGCCCUAUCAGUCGGGGAGAAAAUGACGGUACCUGUUUAAGAAGCCCCGGCUAACUACGUGCCAGCAGCCGCGGUAAUACGUAGGGGGCAAGCGUUAUUCGGAUUUACUGGGCGUAAAGGGGGCGUAGACGGGAGCACAAGUCUGGAGGGAAAUGCCGGGGCUUAACCCCGGAACUGCUUUGGAACCUGUGCAGCUAGAGUGCGGGAGAGGUAAGUGGAAUUCGUGGUGUAGCGGUGAAAUGCGUAGAUAUUAGGAGGAACACCAGUGGCGAAGGCGGCUUACUGGACCGUAACUGACGUUGAGGCACGAAAGCGUGGGGAGCGAACAGGAUUAGAUACCCGUGUAGUC